UACGGGGGGGGCAAGCGUUGUUCGGAAUUACUGGGCGUAAAGGGCGCGUAGGCGGUUUGCUAAGUUGGAUGUGAAAACUCUGGGCUUAACCCAGAGCCUGCAUCCAAAACUGGCAAACUUGAGUACUGGAGGGGAAAGCGGAAUUCCUGGUGUAGCGGUGAAAUGCGUAGAUAUCUGGAGGAACACCGGUGGCGAAGGCGGCAUCCUGGACCGGCAUUGACGCUGAGGCGCGAAAGCCAGGGGAGCAAACGGG
rnacentral:rRNA from 1 species